UAAAAACCCCGACUUCGGAAGGGGUGUAUUUAUUAGAUACAAAACCAAUGCCCUUCGGGGCUCUUUGGUGAUUCAUGAUAACUAUACGAAUCGCACGGCCUUGCGCCGGCGAUGGUUCAUUCAAAUUUCUUCCCUAUCAACUUUCGAUGUUUGGGUAUUGGCCAAACAUGGUUGCAACGGGUAACGGAGGGUUAGGGCUCGACCCCGGAGAAGGAGCCUGAGAAACGGCUACUACAUCCAAGGAAGGCAGCAGGCGCGCAAAUUACCCAAUCCCGACUCGGGGAGGUAGUGACAAUAAAUACUGAUACAGGGCCCUUUCGGGCCUUGUAAUUGGAAUGAGUACAAUUUAAAUCCCUUAACGAGGAACAAUUGGAGGGCAAGUCUGGUGCCAGCAGCCGCGGUAAUUCCAGCUCCAAUAGCGUAUAUUAAAGUUGUUGUGGUUAAAAAGCUCGUAGUUGAACCUUGGGCCUGGCUGGCCGGUCCGCCUCACCGCGUGCACUGGUCCGGCCGGGCCUUUCCCUCUGUGGAACCCCAUACCCUUCACUGGUCGUGGCGGGGAAACAGGUCAUUUAUUUU
rnacentral:rRNA from 1 species